CUUGGCGGGGGGGCACUCAGCCUGAAUUGCGAGAGGAUGCAGCCCAGGCUGAGUGACCCCACCGGUGCACA
rnacentral:pre_miRNA from 1 species